AGACUUGUGAACUACGCAACCAUGUGUA
rnacentral:sRNA from 1 species